CCCUUAGAUGUUCUGGGCCGCACGCGCGCUACACUGUUCGACGCAGCGAGUCUUAACCUUGACCGAAAGGUUUGGGUAAUCUUCAGCAAAGUCGAACGUGAUGGGGAUCGAUCAUUGCAAUUAUUGAUCGUGAACGAGGAAUUCCUAGUAAGUGCAAGUCAUCAGCUUGCGCUGAUUACGUCCCUGCCCUUUGUACACACCGCCCGUCGCUACUACCGAUUGAAUGGUUUAGUGAGAUCUCUGGAUUGACGCUGGCUAGGGGGCGACCCUUGGCCAGACUGUUGAGAAAGUGCUCAAACUUGAUCAUUUAGAGGAAGUAAAAGUCGUAACA
rnacentral:rRNA from 1 species